rnacentral:rRNA from 1 species
GACGAACGCUGGCGGCGUGCUAGUACAUGCAAGUCGAGCGAGCUUGCCUAGAUGAAUUUGGUGCUUGCACCAAAUGAAACUAGAUACAAGCGAGCGGCGGACGGGUGAGUAACACGUGGGUAACCUGCCCAAGAGACUGGGAUAACACCUGGAAACAGAUGCUAAUACCGGAUAACAACACUAGACGCAUGUCUAGAGUUUAAAAGAUGGUUCUGCUAUCACUCUUGGAUGGACCUGCGGUGCAUUAGCUAGUUGGUAAGGUAACGGCUUACCAAGGCAAUGAUGCAUAGCCGAGUUGAGAGACUGAUCGGCCACAUUGGGACUGAGACACGGCCCAAACUCCUACGGGAGGCAGCAGUAGGGAAUCUUCCACAAUGGACGCAAGUCUGAUGGAGCAACGCCGCGUGAGUGAAGAAGGGUUUCGGCUCGUAAAGCUCUGUUGGUAGUGAAGAAAGAUAGAGGUAGUAACUGGCCUUUAUUUGACGGUAAUUACUUAGAAAGUCACGGCUAACUACGUGCCAGCAGCCGCGGUAAUACGUAGGUGGCAAGCGUUGUCCGGAUUUAUUGGGCGUAAAGCGAGUGCAGGCGGUUCAAUAAGUCUGAUGUGAAAGCCUUCGGCUCAACCGGAGAAUUGCAUCAGAAACUGUUGAACUUGAGUGCAGAAGAGGAGAGUGGACUCCAUGUGUGGCGGUGGAAUGCGUAGAUAUAUGGAAGAACACCAGUGGCGAAGGCG